rnacentral:rRNA from 1 species
ACGGAAGGCAGCAGUGGGGAAUAUUGCACAAUGGGGGAAACCCUGAUGCAGCGACGCCGCGUGAGUGAAGAAGUAUUUCGGUAUGUAAAGCUCUAUCAGCAGGGAAGAAAAUGACGGUACCUGACUAAGAAGCCCCGGCUAACUACGUGCCAGCAGCCGCGGUAAUACGUAGGGGGCAAGCGUUAUCCGGAUUUACUGGGUGUAAAGGGAGCGUAGACGGUUCUGCAAGUCUGAUGUGAAAGGCAGGGGCUCAACUCCUGGACUGCAUUGGAAACUGUAGAACUAGAGUGCCGGAGAGGUAAGCGGAAUUCCUAGUGUAGCGGUGAAAUGCGUAGAUAUUAGGAGGAACACCAGUGGCGAAGGCGGCUUACUGGAUGGUAACUGACGUUGAGGCUCGAAAGCGUGGGGAGCAAACAGGAUUAGAUACCCUGGUA